UACGAAGGGGGCUAGCGUUGUUCGGAAUGACUGGGCGUAAAGGGCGCGUAGGCGGCUUUAUAAGUCAGAUGUGAAAGACCUGGGCUUAACCUAGGAAGUGCAUUUGAAACUGUAAGGCUGGAGGACGAGAGAGGAAUGUGGAAUUGCGAGUGUAGAGGUGAAAUUCGUAGAUAUUCGCAAGAACACCAAUGGCGAAGGCAGCAUUCUGGCUCGUAUCUGACGCUAAGGCGCGAAAGCGUGGGGAGCAAACAGG
rnacentral:rRNA from 1 species